CUUUAAUGAAUACGUAGAACAGCAUAUUGAAAUAAAUAAUUACGAAGAAGCAAGCGGAAAAAAAUGGCCGUUCAUGUUUUUCAACUAUAUUAACUCAACUACCUUAAAAUGUUGUUUUUGUACUGAUAAUUAUGCACCUAAACAUAAAUUGACAAAUCACUUGAAUCGGAAUUUUUCUGAGAAACCGGAUCACUUUAUCGACUACGGCUGGAUAUGAAAAUACUGUACAAAACUACACAUCCGAACAAGCUGCAAAGUACACAUAGAACGCAUGACACAACUAGACCAUCAGGAAGCCAACCAAACUGAAGAAAACAGAAUUUGACAAUGGAAUGAUGAUAAGGAAGUUCAACUAGCAUCACAACCAACGACAACGGCAAUUUUAAUUUUGACGAUUCAAAUGAUUUGAAGUACACGAGAAAAGUGGCAUAUCUUUUGACGUAUAAUUCGUUUUACUUUUAUAAGUUAUAAAUAUGUUCAUAAAGUUAUGUGUCACAUAAAUAACAAGUAAUGGAACUUAUU
rnacentral:lncRNA from 1 species